GAUGAACGCUAGCGGCAGGCUUAAUACAUGCAAGUCGAGGGGCAGCAGGUCUGUAGCAAUACAGAUGCUGGCGACCGGCAAACGGGUGCGGAACACGUACAGAACCUUCCUUCGAGCGGGGAAUAGCCCAGAGAAAUUUGGAUUAAUACCCCAUAGUAUAUUAGAGUGGCAUCACUUUGAUAUUAAAGAUUUAUCACUUGAAGAUGGCUGUGCGGCUGAUUAGGUAGUUGGCGGGGUAACGGCCCACCAAGCCUGCGAUCAGUAACUGGUGUGAGAGCACGACCAGUCACACGGGCACUGAGACACGGGCCCGACUCCUACGGGAGGCAGCAGUAAGGAAUAUUGGUCAAUGGACGCAAGUCUGAACCAGCCAUGCCGCGUGGAGGAUGAAGGUCCUCUGGAUUGUAAACUUCUUUUAUAUGGGACGAAAAAGGGUCUUUCUAGAUCAACUGACGGUACCAUAUGAAUAAGCACCGGCUAACUCCGU
rnacentral:rRNA from 1 species